AGCAGCCGCGGUAAUUCCAGCUCCAAUAGCGUAUAUUAAAGUUGUUGCAGUUAAAAAGCUCGUAGUUGAAUUUCGGGGUUAGUAGGUUGGUCAUGCCUCUGGUAUGUACUGGUCUCACUGAUUCCUCCUUCCUGAUGAGCCGUAAUGCCAUUAAUUUGGUGUUGCGGGGAAUUUGGACUGUUACUUUGAAAAAAUUGAGUGCUUAAAGCAAGCUAACGCUUGAGUACAUUAGCAUGGAAUAAUGAAAUAGGACGUUCGAUCCUAUUUUGUUGGUUUCUAGGAUUGACGUAAUGAUUAAUAGGGAUAGUUGGGGGCAUUAGUAUUCAAUUGUCAGAGGUGAAAUUCUUGGAUUUAUUGAAGACUAACUACUGCGAAAGCAUUUGCCAAGGAUGUUUUCAUUAAUCAAGAACGAAAGUUAGGGGAUCGAAGACGAUCAGAUACCGUCGUAGUCUUAACCAUAAACUAUGCCGACUAGGGAUCGGAUGGUGUUAAGUUUUUAUGUACUCAUUCGGCGUCCUUA
rnacentral:rRNA from 1 species